CAAGAAGUGGCUGAGUGUAAGCGGUAAGCUGUAAACUUAUUAACAGGAAAGUUUCCUCUUCUUGA
rnacentral:tRNA from 1 species